rnacentral:rRNA from 1 species
GAUGAACGCUAGCUACAGGCUUAACACAUGCAAGUCGAGGGGUAGCAGGGUAGCAAUACCGCUGACGACCGGCGCACGGGUGAGUAACACGUAUCCAACCUUCCCAUAACUCGGGGAUAGCCUUUCGAAAGAAAGAUUAAUACCCGAUAGUACUUUAUUAAGGCAUCUUAAGAAAGUUAAAGAUUUAUUGGUUAUGGAUGGGGAUGCGUUCCAUUAGAUAGUUGGUGAGGUAACGGCUCACCAAGUCUUCGAUGGAUAGGGGUUCUGAGAGGGAGGUCCCCCGCAGUGGUACUGAGACACGGACCAAACGCCUACGGGAGGCAGCAGUGAGGAAUAUUGGUCGAUGGGCGAGAGCCUGAACCAGCCAAGUAGCGUGAAGGAUGAAGGUCCUAUGGAUUGUAAACUUCUUUUAUAGUAGAAUAAAGUGAACCACGUGUGGUUUUUUGUAUGUAUACUAUGAAUAAGGAUCGGCUAACUCCGUGCCAGCCGCCGCUGUAAAAC